AGUGAACGCUGGCGGUAGGCCUAACACAUGCAAGUCGAACGGCAGCACAGUAAGAGCUUGCUCUUACGGGUGGCGAGUGGCGGACGGGUGAGGAAUACAUCGGAAUCUACUUUUUCGUGGGGGAUAACGUAGGGAAACUUAAGCUAAUACCGCAUACGACCUACGGGUGAAAGCAGGGGAUCUUCGGACCUUGCGCGAUUGAAUGAGCCGAUGUCGGAUUAGCUAGUUGGCGGGGUAAAGGCCCACCAAGGCGACGAUCCGUAGCUGGUCUGAGAGGAUGAUCAGCCACACUGGAACUGAGACACGGUCCAGACUCCUACGGGAGGCAGCAGUGGGGAAUAUUGGACAAUGGGCGCAAGCCUGAUCCAGCCAUACCGCGUGGGUGAAGAAGGCCUUCGGGUUGUAAAGCCCUUUUGUUGGGAAAGAAAAGCAGCAGGUUAAUACCCCGCUGUUCUGACGGUACCCAAAGAAUAAGCACCGGCUAACUUCGUG
rnacentral:rRNA from 1 species